ensembl:lncRNA
CAGUUUGAGAUGCUUUAUUAGUGUAUUGUCAUCAUUUCUUACAGCCAGGAUUCACUUCUGCCUAAAAUGAGAAGCACGCAGAGCUUUAUAGGCAGCUAAAGAUAUACGCCCUCUCUCACCACUUUGUCUUUCUCUUUUUCACAUGCACUCUUCCUUCUUUGGUCUUUGUCCCUCUUUUAAGUUUACACGGUUCCUUUUACAAUACACAAACACACACACACACACACACACACACACACACACACACACUGCAAAUGUAUUUUUUUCGUCUGCAUUACCCAUAUGAACAAACUGAGCUCUUUUCCUGUCCACUCUCUUGUAUGUACCAUACUGAUCGGCAUAUUGUGCGAGAAAUUACACCUGAACCUGAAUGUCCAUGCCACAUUAAACUCCUCAGUUCACCGAUCAAUCACCCACUUGCUUUAAAAAGUGUCACUUCACUGAAGCAUUUCCUAAACAUGAUACCUGAAAACUCCAUGACUCUUAAGAAAAACUGCAUUUUAUUACAUUUUUUUAUUUCAUAGCAAAAUUUCCUUGGUACUUCAUACAUUACAAUCUUACAUUCUGUGCCACCAUUUUCAACAUGGGGAAAAAGACAGGGCUAUGAGAACCUGCUUCCUGCUCAGCACUCAAAUAUCACUGCCUCAAUGUAACAGCGGUCAAACUAAACCAAGUCACGUUUUCAUGUUUUUUUUCUAUGUGUGUGUGUGUGUGCGUGUGUGUGUGUGUGUGUGUGUGUGUGGUGUGUGUGUGUGUGUGUGUGUGUGUGUGUGUGUGCAGGGGUGUGGGGUCAUAUAUUGACUAUUAAUUGACUAUUAAAAGUGUUGAUUUGUCAAAGCUUCUUUUAGAUUAUUGAUUGGCCCAUAAGAAUAGUGUAUGCUUCUUUUUUAAUAAUUAACAGCCAAAUGUAUCAAUUCCAUAGGCUAGAUAAUUAGUUUAUUAAUUAAUGGUAAUGUUAGAGCAAAACAAGUACAGGGAAAAAGUAGGUGAGACAAGCAUCCACAUCAGGCCUUGAAAUUCAAGAUUGUAGGUACAAGACUACAUGUAGUCUUCCCACUGCAUGUUGUAGAAUGGAAAUGUUACAUGUUACAAAUCUUACACAUACAGAAAAAAAAAUUCAGGCACCAAUCUUUAUAUAGUUAAGGGAAUAAAUGGUAAAUGGUAAAUGGCCUGCAUUUGUAUAGCGCUUUUCUAGUCCCUAAGGACCCCAAAGCACAUAAAUUAGUGUAUAUCAACAUUUUCUAAGGUCAGGGUUUUCUAGGCAUGACUCAUUUUUCACGUAGUUUCUAUCCACUCGUGUUAAUGCCAAUUCCUAUGAAUGCCAGAGUAUGGAUACAUUUAAAAAGUAGAAAAGAGAGGAGUAUGUCUUUCUCUUAAAACACAGAAAAGAGGAGCUCUUUAGAUCUGGGGUUUCUCCAAACAGAAGCGGAGUCAUUACAUUCCAACAAGGAGGCGCCUGUUAAGCUCUUUAACACCAUCUAAAGAAGUUCCCUAACAUUGCUGAAGUCAUACCUAUGACUCAGGACGGAUUAGUGGAAAAUUUUUCAAAACCCUGCUCAAAACAUGCGAAUUUUAGGGUAAAAACCUUUUUUUUCCUGAUGUAGUAUAUUUCAGGAGAAGUGGGGAAAAAACAGUUCCUAUCAUGUAAAAUGUGUGCACAUUUCUGAUGAAUGACAUGUUCUCAGCAAUAACAACUUUUUAAAAUUUUACUACGUGGUUGUAAUGUGUGACAAUAGCCAUGAAGCCCACUCACCCCAUGAAUGGCAGCCUGUUAAUGGUUUUAAAACACUGUAGUGUUACUCAGCAGUGUCAGUCAACCAGACCAGUUAGUCCUUAAACUGUGGAACUUAAUCGCUGGUGUAAAAAGAUAUUUCUGAUUAAAAAUAAUAAAUAAAUAUUUUUUUAAAAACAGUUUCUCCAUCGAUUACGAAAUUUGAUCUGAGAUACAUCUAAGUCACAACUACAGACAAACACAGUCUGAAUCACAAAUACCUCUUGAAUUCCUUUUUUUGUUCAUCCUUUCAACCUUUGAGCAAAUAAUUCCCUGAGGCAUCUCCACAGUGCAAUUUAUUUUGCCAAGAACCAGCAGCUGCAAACCACAACACAGCACCACCUCUUCUGUAGCUGCCUGCAGUCACCAGCCUUUCCAUCUCAUGAUGAUGAGGUCAUAACCACAAAGUGCCUCAGCAACAUCUCAACUGGAACAAACCCAGAGAAAAAUAUUGUUAGGAUGCAGGGCAAGACAUGGAAAACAUGGAAAUGAUGAAGUGUAGGAAAAGAC